rnacentral:rRNA from 1 species
GAUGAACGCUGGCGGCGUGCCUAAUACAUGCAAGUCGAGCGAAUGGAUUAAGAGCUUGCUCUUAUGAAGUUAGCGGCGGACGGGUGAGUAACACGUGGGUAACCUGCCCAUAAGACUGGGAUAACUCCGGGAAACCGGGGCUAAUACCGGAUAACAUUUUGAACCGCAUGGUUCGAAAUUGAAAGGCGGCUUCGGCUGUCACUUAUGGAUGGACCCGCGUCGCAUCAGCUAGUUGGUGAGGUAACGGCUCACCAAGGCAACGAUGCGUAGCCGACCUGAGGGGGUGAUCGGCCACACUGGGACUGAGCCACGGCCCAGACUCCUACGGGAGGCAGCAGUAGGGAAUCUUCCGCAAUGGACGAAAGUCUGACGGAGCAACGCCGCGUGAGUGAUGAAGGCUUUCGGGUCGUAAAACUCUGUUGUUAGGGAAGAACAAGUGCUAGUUGAAUAAGCUGGCACCUUGACGGUACCUAACCAGAAAGCCACGGCUAACUACGUGCCAGCAGCCGCAGUAA